rnacentral:tRNA from 1 species
CAAAGCAUAGCUUAAUUAUAAAGCACCCGGCCUACACCCGGGAGAUACUACAACCAUUGAGUUGCUUUGA